UACGUAGGGGGCAAGCGUUGUCCGGAUUUACUGGGCGUAAAGAGCGCGUAGGCGGAAGCUUAAGUGUGGCCUGAAAGCCCCCGGCUCAACCGGGGAAGGUGGCUGCAAACUGGGUUUCUUGAGGGCGAUAGGGGAGAGCGGAAUUCCUGGUGUAGCGGUGAAAUGCGUAGAGAUCAGGAGGAACACCGAUGGCGAAGGCAGCUCUCUGGGUCGGCCCUGACGCUGAGGCGCGAAAGCGCGGGGAGCGAACGGG
rnacentral:rRNA from 1 species